CUACGGGAGGCAGCAGUGGGGAAUCUUGGACAAUGGGGGCAACCCUGAUCCAGCGACGCCGCGUGGGUGACGAAGGCCUUCGGGUUGUAAAGCCCUUUUGUCGGGGACGAUAAUGACGGUACCCGAAGAAUAAGCUCCGGCUAACUUCGUGCCAGCAGCCGCGGUAAUACGAAGGGAGCUAGCGUUGUUCGGAAUCACUGGGCGUAAAGCGCACGUAGGCGGAUUUGUUAGUCAGGGGUGAAAUCCCGGGGCUCAACCUCGGAACUGCCUUUGAUACUGCAAGUCUUGAGUCCGGAAGAGGUGAGUGGAAUUCCUAGUGUAGAGGUGAAAUUCGUAGAUAUUAGGAAGAACACCAGUGGCGAAGGCGGCUCACUGGUCCGGUACUGACGCUGAGGUGCGAAAGCGUGGGGAGCAAACAGGAUUAGAAACCCUUGUAGUCC
rnacentral:rRNA from 1 species